GCCCGCUUGGCUCAGUGGUAAAGCGAUUCACUCGUACAGCGCGUCCUAUGAAUAGAUCCUCGGUUCGAUUCCGAGAGUGGGCA